UAGUCGUUGAAUUGGCUGAAA
ensembl:piRNA 21ur-2126 ncRNA